rnacentral:rRNA from 1 species
AGUGGAUGGGGAGCGACCUAGUUGUGCGUGUGUAAAGGUAGUGCCAAGAAAAGCGAUGAUCAUGUUGAAAAUCAAUUCCCGGUACCCGAAACCGACACAGGUGGGCAAGUAGAGAAUACUAAGGGGCGCGAGGUAACUCUCUCCAAGGAACUCGGCAAAAUGACCCCGUAACUUAGGGAGAAGGGGUGCCACCGAGAGGUGGUCGCAGUGAAGAGGCCCAGGCGACUGUUUAGCAAAAACAUAGGUCUCUGCAAACUCGAAAGAGGAGGUAUAGGGGCUGACGCCUGCCCAGUGCCGGAAGGUUAAAGAAGUUGGUCAGUUUUAGGAUGAAGCUAGCGACUGAAGCCCCGGUGAACGGCGGCCGUAACUAUAACGGUCCUAAGGUAGCGAAAUUCCUUGUCGGGUAAGUUCCGACCCGCACGAAAGGCGUAACGAUCUGGGCGCUGUCUCGGAGAGAGGCUCGGCGAAAUAGGAUUGUCUGUGAAGAUACGGACUACCUGCAUUUGGACAGAAAGACCCUAUGAAGCUUUACUAUAGCUUGGAAUUGUGUUCGGGCUUCCUGUGCGCAGGAUAGGUGGGAGGCGUAGAAGGUAUUCUUGUGGGGAUACUGGAGCCAACGGUGAGAUACCACUCUCAGGAGGCUAGAAUUCUAACUUAAUUAAGGACAGUUUCAGGUGGGUAGUUUGACUGGGGCGGUCGCCUCCAAAAAGGUAACGGAGGCGUACAAAGGUUCCCUCAGACUGGUUGGAAAUCAGUCGAAGAGUGCAAAGGCAGAAGGGAGCUUGACUGCGAGAAGUACAGUUCGAGCAGGGUGGAAACACGGUCUUAGUGAUCCGACGGUGCUGUGUGGAAGGGCCGUCGCUCAACGGAUAAAAGUUACUCUAGGAUAACAGGCUGAUCUCCCCCAAGAGUUCACAUCGACGGGGAGGUUUGGCACCUCGAUGUCGGCUCAUCGCAACCUGGGGCGGAAGUACGUCCCAAGGGUUGGGCUGUUCGCCCAUUAAAGCGGUACGUGAGCUGGGUUCAGAACGUCGUGAGACAGUUCGGUCCAUAUCCGAUGUAGGCGUGAGAAUAUUGAGAGGAGCCUUCCUUAGUACGAGAGGACCGGGAAGGACGCACCGCUGGUGUACCUGUUAUGAUGCCAAUUGUAAACGCAGGGUAGCCAAGUGCGGAGAGGAUAACCGCUGAAAGCAUCUAAGUGGGAAGCCCACCUCAAGAUGAGUAUUCUGGUGUAAGGUCACGGGAAGACGACCCGUAAAUAGGCACGAGGUGGAAGUGCAGAGAUGUAUGAAGCCGAAGUGUACUAAUAGACCGUCGGCUUGACC